rnacentral:piRNA from 1 species
UACGUGAGUACGAAUAGGAUCUCUGAGUA